rnacentral:lncRNA from 1 species
AUGUGCCCUUAUCUAUGGAAACUAAAAAGGGGCAAAGACAGACCUCAGCAAGAUGGAUUCUAAAAUUCAUGCAGAAAACAGUCAGCCUCUCAGUGAAAACAGGCAUUUCACGAGUUUUCAGGCAUCAUCUGUGUCUCAAAGGAUGGAGAUGAGAAAUAAAGAUCUGGGCUCCACUUUUCCAGAGGUCAAGAGCGAUCCAGAGCGCAGAAUGAACAGAACGUGCUUACAAGAGAUGGUGCAAAUGAUGGAAGAAAUGGAAAAGGCCAUCAUAAAGUAUGGACUUCCAUCAGAGCACUGAAGACCAUGUCAGCGUAGCUCUGUGAUGCUCAACUCUGUCAAGACAUAGGCCUACCAAAGAUUUUGCUGCUAUGACAAAGAAAAACCCACAAUAUUGCUGUCACUGAUACAGGGAUGAUGUAAAACCUGGCUUUCAUAUGAGUUGGAGUAACUUUAUGACUUACUGAGUCUCUGUGGUCUCUUCCAAAGCUGCCCUAAGUGCAUCGCUAAUUAAUUGUUCCUGUGCCAUAAAGAGAUGCAUAUGGUGUAUGCUCUCAUGGAUAUCAGUGUAUUUUGUGGGCAUAAUAGUGGCCCGUUCCAGUAGCUUUUUCUCCUAUUUUGAUUCUGAGCAAAUAUGAACGCUUAAGUAGUUAAUAUCUUGGUUUGUCCCUCCAGUGAACAGGGCAUUGUGUUUCUGAACAUGAAGCUAGGAUCUGAAUCAACCUCUUGGAAAUAAAAUCUAUGUUCCAUCGAUCA